rnacentral:rRNA from 1 species
AUUGAACGCUGGCGGCAGGCCUAACACAUGCAAGUCGAGCGAGCGGCGGACGGGUGAGUAAUGUAUGGGGACUUCCCUCUAGAGGGGGCUCACUACUGGAAACGGUAGCUUCUACCGCAUACUAUCGGAUAACCCAUAUGGGAUUAGCUAGUAGGUGAGGUAAUGGAUCACCUAGGCGACGAACCCUAGCUGGUCUGAGAGGAUGAUCAGCAACACUGGGAAUGAGACACGGCCCAGACUCCUACGGAGGUAGCAGUGGGGAAUAUUGCACAAUGGGCGCAAGCCUGAUGCAGCCAUGCCGCGUGUAUGAAGAAGGCCCUAGGGUUGUAAAGUACUUUCAGUCGGGAGGCGUUACCGACAGAAGAAGCACCGGCUAACUCCGUGCCAGCAGCCGCGGUAAUUC